rnacentral:rRNA from 1 species
GUGAGGAAUAUUGGACAAUGGAUGGAAAUCUGAUCCAGCCAUGCCGCGUGCAGGAAGACGGCCCUAUGGGUUGUAAACUGCUUUUAUAUGGGAGCAAUAAGGCCUACGUGUAGGUUGAUGAGAGUACCAUAUGAAUAAGCACCGGCUAACUCCGUGCCAGCAGCCGCGGUAAUACGGAGGGUGCAAGCGUUAUCCGGAUUUAUUGGGUUUAAAGGGUGCGUAGGCGGUUUGAUAAGUCAGCGGUGAAAUAUUUCAGCUUAACUGGAAGGGUGCCGUUGAUACUGUCAGGCUUGAAUUUAGUUGCUGUGGGUGGAAUGUGUGGUGUAGCGGUGAAAUGCAUAGAUAUCACACAGAAUAUCGAUUGCGAAGGCAGCUCACAAAGCUAAAAUUGACGCUGAUGCACGAAAGUGUGGGGAUCAAACAGG